rnacentral:tRNA from 1 species
UAUCGUAUAGUCUAGUGGUUAAGACGUCCGCUAUUCAAUCGGAAAACCCAGGUUCGGUUCCUGGUGCGGUAG